rnacentral:rRNA from 1 species
AACGAACGCUGGCGGCAGGCCUAACACAUGCAAGUCGAACGCCGUAGCAAUACGGAGUGGCAGACGGGUGAGUAACGCGUGGGAACAUACCCUCCGGUUCGGAAUAACUCAGGGAAACUUGAGCUAAUACCGGAUACGUCCAAGGUUUUAAUCGGCCUUGGAGAAAGAUUUAUCGCUGGAGGAUUGGCCCGCGUCUGAUUAGCUUGUUGGUGAGGUAAUGGCUCACCAAGGCGACGAUCAGUAGCUGGUCUGAGAGGAUGAUCAGCCACAUUGGGACUGAGACACGGCCCAAACUCCUACGGGAGGCAGCAGUGGGGAAUAUUGGACAAUGGGCGAAAGCCUGAUCCAGCCAUGCCGCGUGAGUGAUGAAGGCCUUAGGGUUGUAAAGCUCUUUUACCCGGGAAGAUAAUGACGGUACCGGG